AAAUCUGCAGGCCGCCGGGGGGGGGCAGAAGAACCCAGAAGCGGGCGCGCGCCCGUGGGCCGAGUUGGCGGGCGGAAGACAACUAGCCUCCAGCGGGGGCGCGGACAGAGCGGAGCAGCCCGCGACAGAAAGGCCGCGGCGUGCAUCCAAAUGGUGACCUGCAUUUCUCCCGUGUUUCAAACUACCUCAUCAGACCAGACUUCCUGCUGGAAAUUAUCAGUAAAAUUGACAACUUUUGCUAAGAGAGAUCAGCACUAUUCAUUUGUAUGGAGCUACUGGAACAUUUGUAGGACCUUCAGCUCCUGAGAGGGAAACCUUUCCAUUGGGAGGGCAGUAGCAACACCCCAGAGACAGCAGAGGCAGACAGAGAAGAAUCCUGGAAGAUCUGCUCAUUGCCUGGGGAAAUCUGCUCAUUGCACAAGAGGAACCAGUAUCAGUUUGAAUUCCUCAGGGAAAGGGAGGAUUCAGGAAGAGACACUGAUGAAAUGGUUCCUGAAGCAAGAGGCACGUCUCAGGGAAUGGGAGCCUUCCCGAAUGGAGAGGCUCAUAGAACUGGUGGCCAAACAAGUUGGGAGUCUGCCUGCUGCCAUGACAACUACACCUGUCAAUGAACUGCCAUCACUACCACCAUCUGCUCCUCCUCCGUCUGCUGCCAAGGGCACUGCCGAGGUGAAGGAGCCAACACUCCCAAUGGACUGGGAGGAGAACAUGGAGCCUGCAGUACUCCCCAGACCAGACGUUCCACUGAUGCCCAAACCCUUCGCAGGGAGGCCUCCCUGAGCUCCCAGACAGGGAACAGUGAGCCUGCAGAAGUCUCUGAAUCCGAUCAAGUGCCCACUCUCCAAGCCCCAUCUAGGAGACAUUUUUCUUUGUCCUCAAGAACAAUUUUACCAUGUUAGUCCUCUUUAUCAGGAGGUGGGCAAGGAGACGGGUGCAGAGACAUUAACAUUUCCCCUGGUUGAUGGAUUUAGACCCAUUAUGUUUUAAAUAUUUUUGCUUUACAUUUCUUUAAAUAAUAUUUUACUUAUGAGUUCCAUGUAGUACUUUUAAUAAAUAUUAUAGUUUCCUUGACUUGUGCGAUGAACAUAAGUGCGAUGAAUAUAAGAUGCUUUUCAGGUUUGGGAUUGGGCCGCACAAUUCAGAGCACAUGAAUUGGAAUGGUGCAACUGUCUCGUGCCAUCUUACUGCAAACACUUUUUUUGUCCUACCUCCUCCCCUCCGCCCCCCCACUCCCCGAGGUUCAGAAAUAUCGAAAUUCCCCACAAUACAUGGGAUGGAUGGGGAAAGUGCAGUUAGUGAUAUGUGCAAACAGAAAACACUGCUAGUUCUAAAUGCAGCAGAACUCACAAGUUAGAAAAUGGGCAGAUAAACAUCUUUAUAGUUUAAUUCUCAUGCAGAAAAUCAAAACACAAUUCAAGUAGCAAUACAGGCAUCUGCCAUUACCCUGGGAUUAAACAGCCCGUCCUUCCCCCAAAAAACCUUGAUCACUUUCAACAGUAGUAGCUAUUAGUGCUUUGUAACAGCCACUAGGUGCAGCUAACACUGCUGAUAAUAAACUAUUUUAAAAAAUGGCUGCAUCCCCCUCACCCAAUCAAAUGUUGAUAAGGUGGCUAAGAGAGAUUGAAUGCUCCUGAUAACAUUGGUUUGUAAACAAAUGUGAACAGUGAAGAUUAAAACAUUCCACAAUGACCAAAUCACAACUCGGCCACCACCUUCUACCACAAAAACCCAACCCUAAAAUGAUAACCCAGAGGAAGUGCCCUGUUAUAAUUGUCUGUAAUGUGUCACUUAUCACAGGAACAAAUGGCUAUAAUGACCCUUGGCUACACAGGAAAAAAUCACUGACAAAGCUAUGUAGAUGCAUAAGUUGGUACCAGUGUUCCCUCCUGUGCUUUUCCAACAGCUGCACAGUGUGAAGAUGACUCAUCAUGGGCAAAUGUCAUUAUCUGCCUCCUUACUGUGCCAUGAUGUGCAUGUAUGUGUGAGGCUUUGGGGUUUAACCCAGACCGGUAAGGGGUUAAUAAGGGAUCUCUACCUGCCCUGAGUGUUUUAAAUGCUAUGCUGCUGUUGCUCACAGCCCUGACCAACAGCCAGCCUACAAACUGGGUUCCACUGCCUACUUAGUCUUUACAAGGUGACCCCAACACCCUCUGACUGCCAAAUUUCCCCAAACCAUCUUUUGGGGUUCCCAGAAUUGUGAGUUACUGUGUCACCCCUCUCAGCCUCAACUGGUGAGAGUUUUGCUACUGCUACUCUGUGAGACAAUUCACCAGUUUGUCUGCCUUGCCAGCAAACUCCUCAGGGCUUUGCCAGUCCAAACCUUGCCUUGUGGGUAGUAAACAGUAAACUCCAACUUCUGAGUUCCCCAGAUACAUCUCCCUGUAGCAUCCAGCCCGCUCCUGGAACAGUCACAGAAGUUAUUAAGUUUGCUGCUCCUUUAAAGAGACAAGACAUUUCGGCUUAUAAUGUAACUGGGGUAUGACAAACAUGCUUAUUUCAAUCACAGCAUUGAAUUGAUUUAUAGUAAAAGUUAAACAAGUUUAUUUAACAAAAGGACAUAGGAUUAAAUGAUGCCAAGUAUAAGGGGAAAUGAUAGAAAUAGUUAUAAGGAAAUAAAAAUAAAAAUAAGCUUCUAAGACUAAAAAUUAAUUUCAGCAAGCUACAAUCUUUGUCUAAGUAGGUUUCUCACCUAACUCAGUUCCCACAAACUUCAACCCCCUUUGUUUAAGGAUCCAAUAUGCGAUGAUCUCUGGCCCCUUGAAUUCCCCAAGACACAGACAGCUCAAAUGUCUUUUUACCUCCCUUAUAUCACCCCAAACUUUAUUGUGUCUGUUUUAAGAGCCAGGAUGGCUUCCUGCUGUUCUUUCCUUCCUGUGGAUUUAUUGUGCGCCUGCUGAUUGGUAUGUAAAUUAGGCUUCCAUUGUUUUGAUUCCACACUGCUUAAUUUACAUAGGAGGGAAGGCAGCUGUCUGUCUCUUAUCUGGGAGAAAACUUGUUUCUCCUUUUGUUUGGUCACAAACUUUAAAGCAUAAUAUCAAUUAGUAUCUAUAAUUUCUCAUAUAAUUUUAAUACAUAUAUUUAACA